rnacentral:lncRNA from 1 species
UGCAUUAUAUUGUUCUGAUCACUGCUGCAACUAAUUAUUUUUCCAACAAUACUUUCUCUUUUCAAGAAGACGAAGGCAGUGGCUCAAGUGUUAGGAUAGAAGGGUGUGCUUGAGAUGGAACCAUCCUUCGAGAUCUAAGAUUUUUGAGGAGUAGGCUAGGGUUUUCUUUAAGGGCUGAGAGAAGAGAGAGUUUUGAGAAGGCAAUAAGGUAGGCUUUGCUUUUGAAGUUGAGAGAGGAAAGCUUUAGGUAAUAAAACAUGUAUUGUCGCAAAACUAGUUUGAUGAACAGUGUGUGAAAGCUCAUGUCACAAGAAUGAAUAGUAAUAAUAGGAUCCUCUCUUUUAAGAGAAGGUAGAUUUCUUUCUUUAUUAUUAAUAAAUGAUAGGACA